AACGAACGCUGGCGGCAGGCCUAACACAUGCAAGUCGAGCGGACAUCUUCGGAUGUUAGCGGCGGACGGGUGAGUAACGCGUGGGAACGUGCCCUUUGCUUCGGAAUAGCCUCGGGAAACUGGGAGUAAUACCGGAUGUACCCUUUGGGGGAAAGAUUUAUCGGCAAAGGAUCGGCCCGCGUUGGAUUAGGUAGUUGGUGGGGUAAUGGCCUACCAAGCCGACGAUCCAUAGCUGGUUUGAGAGGAUGAUCAGCCACACUGGGACUGAGACACGGCCCAGACCUCCCCGGGGAGGCGGCAGGGGGAAUUCUUAACAAAGGGGGAAACCCUGAAUCUACCCGUCCCGGGGGGGGAAAAAGGCCUUUGGGGUUGUAAACCUCUUCCCCGGGGAAAUAUAAGGAGGUGCCCCGGAAAAGAGCCCCGGCCACCCCCGGUC
rnacentral:rRNA from 1 species